rnacentral:rRNA from 1 species
AUUGAACGCUGGCGGCAUGCCUUACACAUGCAAGUCGAACGGCAGCACGGGGCAACCUGGUGGCGAGUGGCGAACGGGUGAGUAAUGCAUCGGAACGUACCUUUCAGUGGGGGAUAACGUAGCGAAAGUUACGCUAAUACCGCAUAUUCUGUGAGCAGGAAAGCAGGGGAUCGCAAGACCUUGCGCUGAUUGAGCGGCCGAUGUCAGAUUAGCUAGUUGGUGAGGUAAAGGCUCACCAAGGCGACGAUCUGUAGCGGGUCUGAGAGGAUGAUCCGCCACGCUGGAAAUGCGCCCCGUGCCAUCCUCCUCCGGGAGGCAGCAGGGGGGAAGUUUGGACAAUGGGUGCCCCCCUGAUCCAGCCAUGCCGGGUGGGUGAAGAAGGCCUUCGGGUUGUAAAUCUCUUUCGGCCGGGAAGAAAUCGCACGGGCUAAUACCCUGUGUGGAUGACGGUACCGGAAUAAGAAGCACCGGCUAACUACGUGCCAGCCGCCGCCGUAACAC